rnacentral:rRNA from 1 species
AUUUUGACCUCAAAUCAGGUAAGACUACCCGCUGAACUUAAGCAUAUCAAUAAGCGGAGGAAAAGAAACUAACAAGGAUUCCCCUAGUAACUGCGAGUGAAGCGGGAAAAGCUCAAAUUUAAAAUCUGGCGGCCUUUUGGCUGUCCGAGUUGUAAUCUAGAGAAGUGUUACCCGCGUCGGACCGUGUAUAAGUCUCCUGGAAUGGAGCGUCAUAGAGGGUGAGAAUCCCGUCUUUGACACGGACUACCGAGGCUUUUGUGGUGCGCUCUCAACGAGUCGAGUUGUUUGGGAAUGCAGCUCAAAAUGGGUGGUAAAUUCCAU